AGGCGGACCAGUUUUAUCCGAUUUGUCACAGCUUGACAUUUCGCGAACACGGCCUGUGAACAAGUCGAUAACGGUAUGUGUGUACAUACGUGGUGUGUCCGUGAUAUGGACAACGUCCACUAAUGACCCCGUGACUGUUUGGACUGUUUGGACUUCCAUAAUCGACCAUGUGUACUCGUACACACACAUAUUACCGUUAUAUCGAUCGACCUUGCGUUACGUCAGCGGCGUCCAGCCAAGCGGUGACCAUAACAUCGAUACAUAGACUCCGGGCUGUUGUUGACAGCUAUGUAAGAAAAUCCUACCGUGGACGUAUAUCGUUGGACGAAGCCGGAGGUUUAUGGAGAAACGUGUUGGAUAAUAUAACGGGUACCUGUGUUUGGUCACAAACAUAUACUUAGUUCUGCGAGAAGCACGAUCGACAUUGCGGGUGGAAAACUGGAAGAAACAACCCCUUCUUUAGCGAGGAAGAUAUUUUGUUCAACGAAACAAAUAUAAACACAAGAUUGUUUUUGAGAAGGUCGUGGGCCAUAUAAGCAUUGUAGUGAGCAAGUUUGACGUGUAAAUCUCCACAAUGUCACCCAUAUUGAUUCUCAUAUUGGUUUCUACUAUGGUUGCCCUAUCGAUGUUCAUCUUUCUUCUCAUCAGUAUGGCCCUUAUAUUGAUAAUGUGUAUGGCCACGGGAACUAUCAUAUCCGUCCUGCUGUUUGCCGCUAACGUCAUCCUACGCGACAGCAAUAUACAGCUGUCCGACUUGAACAUUCCGGAUAUGACGCAGAUCUUUGGAAUGCUGGGAAAAGUGAAUACUAUUUCUACGACUCAGAUGAAAGAACAGUUUUGGAACAUGGCUAGUCGGAAAAACGUUACCGCAUGUGCACAUACGAUAUUUAACAGAGUGUACCAUACCGUGACAUUUUCUUACUUCAAAUGAUGCUGAGUCUGGAUAUUAACUUCCAAGAUGCAAGUUAAUUGAGAUCGCCAAUUUUUACUGAAUUCCGGGAUUAUAACCUGUGCCUUUUCGCCGCAGGGUCUUGCCACGAAUUUUCAGGCCCACGGUCCACAUACCGGGACCAUGGUAUCAGGAAUACACGCCAAGUCCCUGUGCUAAAUGUAUCGUAAAUGUAGAAAAUUGUAUUUAUGACUGGAAGUGACGGAUGACAAUGGCAACAUAUUUGUCUUAUUCCAUUUUGUGAACACUUUGAAUGUUUUCAUAUUGUGAAAGACACUUGACUAUUAAUUUAUUACUUUUUUUUUUAUACAUUUCAAUAUUGAAUGCCAGUGUUUUUAUAUGUGUGAUAAUAUUCUUAAACAGAUGUACGUAUUUAGAUAUUGAGAAAAUAAUAUAUUUCAAUGAAGUAC